rnacentral:rRNA from 1 species
UGGGGAAUAUUGCACAAUGGGCGCAAGCCUGAUGCAGCCAUGCCGCGUGUGUGAAGAAGGCCUUCGGGUUGUAAAGCACUUUCAGCGGGGAGGAAGGCGAUAAGGUUAAUAACCUUGUCGAUUGACGUUACCCGCAGAAGAAGCACCGGCUAACUCCGUGCCAGCAGCCGCGGUAAUACGGAGGGUGCAAGCGUUAAUCGGAAUGACUGGGCGUAAAGCGCACGCAGGCGGUCUGUAAAGUCGGAUGUGAAAUCCCCGGGCUCAACCUGGGAACUGCAUUCGAAACUGGCAGGCUAGACUCUUGUAGAGGGGGGUAGAAUUCCAGGUGAAGCGGUGAAAUGCGUAGAGAUCUGGAGGAAUACCGGUGGCGAAGGCGGCCCCCUGGACAAAGACUGACGCUCAGGUGCGAAAGCGUGGGGAGCAAACAGG